rnacentral:lncRNA from 1 species
CUUGUUUUAGGCUUAUUUUUACCACCUUCAAAAUAUGUAGACUGUAGCUGUUCCAAUUUUCUUAUGUUAUACAGCAGAAAUUAUUGUUAAGACCAGUAAAAGUUUAUUAUUUCUCAAAUACCCAUAGCUUGGAAUUUAGAAAAUCUUGAGGUCUAGCUCUGGGAGCUACAUUUCAGCUCAUGUCCAAUUUUGUGGUUGCAGUGGAAAUUCCUAGGAAACUAUGGUUCAAACUAGAUAACACUUUGGAGAGUGAACUAUGUCAGAGGAUGCAACCCUUAUAUUGAAUAUUCCAGCAUUAUUUAUUUGAUUAAAAUCAAAUACUUUCCAUCACUCCAA